UACGGGGGGGGCAAGCGUUGUUCGGAAUUACUGGGCGUAAAGGGCGCGUAGGCGGCCUACUAAGUCGGACGUGAAAUCCCUCGGCUUAACCGGGGAACUGCGUCUGAUACUGGAUGGCUUGAGUUUGGGAGAGGGAUGCGGAAUUCCAGGUGUAGCGGUGAAAUGCGUAGAUAUCUGGAGGAACACCGGUGGCGAAGGCGGCAUCCUGGACCAACACUGACACUGAGGAGCGAAAGCCAGGGGAGCAAACGGG
rnacentral:rRNA from 1 species